AAAUUUUUCCUUUAAAAUGUAUCUAUCUGCGAACGUGAUUUAAAGAUUUCAAGGACAACUAAGGUAUAGAUCAUUACAAAGUCAAUUGCAAAAAUAUCUUCAACGAACAUAUAUAUUAUGAAAUAUGUAUAUACAUAUGUAUAUUACCCACGUAAUCGAUUUUUAAUUACAAGGCAUAUAAAAAGAAGAGACCUUCAUCUAAAAUGUGUUACAUAAAGAAAAUGGUCCUUGAGAACAGAGAGCUGACAAUAUGAGACCAUUGACGUACGUAUACAUAUAGACUUACAAACUUCAAUCAUUAUCAUGCACGAAUUGAUGACCUCAGUGGCUCAUAAUCGCGUGGAAGUUAUAUAUAUAUGUACAUAUGUUAAAUUAUAAUUUUAAAUUGGGGUCCUUAAUAGCUCUCUAAUGGGUUUCAUUAAAAAUUAAUAAAUACUUAGCAAUCUAUUGUUUUGUACUCGAUAUAUCACACACC
rnacentral:misc_RNA from 1 species